rnacentral:rRNA from 1 species
ACAUGCAAGUCGAGCGGACAGAAGGGAGCUUGCUCCCGGAUGUUAGCGGCGGACGGGUGAGUAACACGUGGGUAACCUGCCUGUAAGACUGGGAUAACUCCGGGAAACCGGAGCAAAUACCGGAUAGUUCCUUGAACCGCAUGGUUCAAGGAUGAAAGACGGUUUCGGCUGUCACUUACAGAUGGACCCGCGGCGCAUUAGCUAGUUGGUGAGGUAACGGCUCACCAAGGCGACGAUGCGUAGCCGACCUGAGAGGGUGAUCGGCCACACUGGGACUGAGACACGGCCCAGACWCCUACGGGAGGCAGCAGUAGGGAAUCUUCCGCAAUGGACGAAAGUCUGACGGAGCAACGCCGCGUGAGUGAUGAAGGUUUUC